rnacentral:rRNA from 1 species
CCUACGGGAGACAGCAGUGGGGAAUAUUGCACAAUGGGCGAAACCCUGAUGCAGCGACGCCGCGUGAAGGAAGAAGGCUUUCGGUAUGUAAACUUCUAUCAGCAGGGAAGAAAAUGACGGUACCUGUCUCAGAAGCCCCGGCUAACUACGUGCCAGCAGCCGCGGUAAUACGUAGGGGGCAAGCGUUAUCCGGAUUUACUGGGUGUAAAGGGGGCGUAGGCGGUUUAGCAAGUCAGAAGUGAAAGCCCGGGGCUCAACUCCGGGACUGCUUUUGAAACUGUUGAACUAGAGUGCAGGAGAGGUAAGUGGAAUUCCUAGUGUAGCGGUGAAAUGCGUAGAUAUUAGGAGGAACACCAGUGGCGAAGGCGGCUUACUGGACUGUAAAUGACGCUGAGGCUCGAAAGCGUGGGGAGCAAACAGGAUUAGAUACCCGAGUAGUC